ACUCUUUUCAAUGGGUCGAAAUAAUUUUACUCUAACUCAUCAAGGAUUGUCAAUCCUGAGUAAUCCUAGUAAGCUCUCACAAUCUAUCAGUGACAUCCAGCAGUAUGUAGUGGCAAUCCAGUAGAACCGAAAAUGAAUCUCAUGGUAUAGUUAAUGUGUGAUUCAGUCCCUCUCUCGUGAGUCUCGACUAGAUGGCAGAUCAUGGAUAAAUCGUCAAACCUCAUCAUCAGUCAUAUGAUAAAUUCGAUCAGUUUAAGUCUAAUUAUGAUCCAUAUGAAAAUUUUUUUCAUCAAUCACACUGCUGUGGCCACAGAUUCUCGAAUUUAGUCUCUUAAAUCUCAUAGGACUACUCCUUUCUAUCA
rnacentral:lncRNA from 1 species